rnacentral:lncRNA from 1 species
CAUCGCACUGCACUGCCCUUGAAGCCUCCUAACUUCCUCUCUCAACCUCCUUAUCUCCGUCUGUUGAGACGAUAUUUCGCGCUUGGAGGGACACCUAGAUGGAUGCUCAAGUACUCCAGGCUUGGGGCUUCGGGUUCCACUGAAGGAACCGCUCCAGUCUAGCUGCCGGGUGAGCUUGGUUUGCUCUGAGAGGAGCACUUGGAUCACUGCUCGGACUGGUAAACGUUCAUUGUGAGCUGCAUGGAAAGAGGCCUCCGGCGAGAGUUUUCGGCUGUCUAUUAUCCUG